GUCCCGUUAGCUCAGCUGGUAGAGCAUUUGACUUUUAAUCAAAGGGUCACAGAUUCGAAUUCUGUACGGGACACCA
rnacentral:tRNA from 1 species